AAUGAUUUACACAAAUUAUACUUUAUUUAUUUAUUAUAUUUAAUAAUAAAAGUUGGUAUUAAUGGAAACAUUAUACUAAAGCUUAAAGUGAAAAUAAAUUAAUAAAAAUACUGAUAUAAGCUUGCAAUGACUAUAAAACUAAACGGAAAUAUUACAACCUUCGAUUAAUUACUUGAAGAGAUAAGUGGUAAGUGUUUAGAUAGAUUAUUUUUGUU